UACGUAGGGGGCUAGCGUUGUCCGGAAUCAUUGGGCGUAAAGCGCGUGUAGGCGGUCCGGUAAGUCCGCUGUGAAAGUCGGGGGCUCAACCCUCGGAUGCCGGUGGAUACUGUCGGGCUUGAGUACGGAAGAGGCGAGUGGAAUUCCUGGUGUAGCGGUGAAAUGCGCAGAUAUCAGGAGGAACACCUAUUGCGAAGGCAGCUCGCUGGGACGUUACUGACGCUGAGACGCGAAAGCGUGGGGAGCAAACAGG
rnacentral:rRNA from 1 species